rnacentral:rRNA from 1 species
UGAGUUGAGAAGCUUGCUGGAGGUAUCAGAAGUGCGAAUGCUGACAUGAGUAACGACAAUGCGAGUGAAAAACUCGCACGCCGAAAGACCAAGGUUUCCUGCGCAACGUUAAUCGACGCAGGGUUAGUCGGUCCCUAAGGCGAGGCUGAAAAGCGUAGUCGAUGGAAAACAGGUUAAUAUUCCUGUACUUCCAGUUAUUGCGAUGGAGGGACGGAGAAGGUUAGGCCAGCCUGGCGUUGGUUGUCCAGGUUUAAGGUGGUAGGCUGAAAUCUUAGGCAAAUCCGGGAUUUCAAGGCCGAGAGCUGAUGACGAGUUGCCUUUAGGCGACGAAGUGGUUGAUACCAUGCUUCCAAGAAAAGCUCCUAAGCUUCAGAUAACUGGGAACCGUACCCCAAACCGACACAGGUGGUUAGGUAGAGAAUACCAAGGCGCUUGAGAGAACUCGGGUGAAGGAACUAGGCAAAAUGGCACCGUAACUUCGGGAG